AUAUUCACUAUUGUUUAUACAAAUAUAAAAUACUAUUUUUCAAAGUUUUUGCUCUAAUUGGAAGACACAAAGUGAAAGUAAAUCUGAACUACUAUUUCAUGUUUACUUUUAUCAUCGAGACUUUCAUCUGACAAAUUAUGUACAUUGGACCACAAUCAUUACGUCAAGAAUUUUAAAGCAAAACUAGUUUAUUAUAGAACUGCUUUGUGUUCAAUGUACUAUUUUAUCCACUUAAAAUAGUCAUUACAAUUUGAUUGAAAACUGCAUUGCACACGAAGACAGCUUUGGUGACGUUUAAUGAUGUUCAUCAUAAUUCAAUACUAAUUUCUGUAUUUUGCAGGUGCAGGCAUAUUUGAUCGGACACUGUGAUUAUUACACAACGGUCAACUGGAAUGAUACGAUCAAAAUAUUUGGAAAGCAUUCAAAGUAUGAAUAACUUAGAGAUUUAUCAAACAAUGACAUUUUUAAGACGAUACAAACUUAUUCAAGACUUAUAAAUAAAUGCUCUUUGAAGGGGACUAAGAAGAAAGUUCAAAUUGAAAAUUCAAACUCUACACAGACCCCAUCACGAUGGAUUGUUCGAUCCUGGUUCAACUGCCAAUUCAAAAAUGCAAGAAUAUUCAUUCCGACUACUUUACUAGGAAUCUCUCUAGAAACAUUUAAUCAGGUCCUUUCAACUUCUGCUGCUCUGCACACAGGCUCCUUCACCAGGAACAUUUAAUCAGGUUCUUUCAACUUCUGCUGCUCUGCACACAGACUCCUUCACCAGGAACAUUUAAUCAGAUUUUCAAAAUUUUUCCUGAUGCUCAGAACAUCAUGAGUUUGGAGAACUCAUUCAUGUAAAUGAUUCGCAAGUGUUUUUUUUUUAAUAACUGCCUAUAAUUAUGCAUGAUUUACUUAACUCUUACUAAAUCACUAACACGACUAACCUCACUAACUUAAUCAGUUAUUAUAAAAACCACUUGCUGAGUUUUACAAUGAAUGUCUUGCUGAGGUUGCUUGAAAGACAGCGCUGAUUGAUUUAUCAGGGUAAACGACAACUUCAAGCCAAAUAGUCUUCAACUCUCAACUUACUCAAGACUUGUUCUCCAGCAAAAACAAUCGCUCGAACUACUAAUUAUGUCGUCCCAAGUAACUACCUCCGUCUUGUCGUCAGGGAAGGUGUCUACUGUGAUAUAUAGAU